rnacentral:rRNA from 1 species
UCCUGACUGACCGAUAGUGAACCAGUACCGUGAGGGAAAGGCGAAAAGAACCCCGGCGAGGGGAGUGAAAAAGAACCUGAAACCGUGUACGUACAAGCAGUGGGAGCACGCUUAGGCGUGUGACUGCGUACCUUUUGUAUAAUGGGUCAGCGACUUAUAUUCUGUAGCAAGGUUAACCGAAUAGGGGAGCCGAAGGGAAACCGAGUCUUAACUGGGCGUUAAGUUGCAGGGUAUAGACCCGAAACCCGGUGAUCUAGCCAUGGGCAGGUUGAAGGUUGGGUAACACUAACUGGAGGACCGAACCGACUAAUGUUGAAAAAUUAGCGGAUGACUUGUGGCUGGGGGUGAAAGGCCAAUCAAACCGGGAGAUAGCUGGUUCUCCCCGAAAGCUAUUUAGGUAGCGCCUCGUGAAUUCAUCUCCGGGGGUAGAGCACUGUUUCGGCAAGGGGGUCAUCCCGACUUACCGACCCG